CCUACGGGUGGCUGCAGUGAGGAAUAUUGGUCAAUGGUCGGGAGACUGAACCAGCCAAGUCGCGUGAGGGAUGACGGCCCUAAGGGUUGUAAACCUCUUUUGUCAGGGAACAAAGACGGGGACGCGUCCCCGGAUGAGCGUACCUGAAGAAAAAGCAUCGGCUAACUCCGUGCCAGCAGCCGCGGUAAUACGGAGGAUGCGAGCGUUAUCCGGAUUUAUUGGGUUUAAAGGGUGCGCAGGCGGUAUUGUAAGUCAGCGGUAAAAGGCCGGGGCUCAACCUCGGCCCGCCGUUGAAACUGGGUGUCUCGAGUAGGCGAGAAGUAGGCGGAAUGCGUGGUGUAGCGGUGAAAUGCAUAGAUAUCGCGCAGAACUCCGAUUGCGAAGGCAGCGUGCCGGCUCCACACUGACGCUGAGGCACGAAAGCGUGGGUAUCGAACAGGAUUAGAUACCCUAGUAGUC
rnacentral:rRNA from 1 species